UCUGGGUCACCUCCCACCCGUGUCUAUCGUACCAUUGUUGCUUCGGCGGGCCCGCCGUUUCGACGGCCGCCGGGGAGGCCUUGCGCCCCCGGGCCCGCGCCCGCCGAAGACCCCAACAUGAACGCUGUUCUGAAAGUAUGCAGUCUGAGUUGAUUAUCGUAAUCAGUUAAAACUUUCAACAACGGAUCUCUUGGUUCCGGCAUCGAUGAAGAACGCAGCGAAAUGCGAUAAGUAAUGUGAAUUGCAGAAUUCAGUGAAUCAUCGAGUCUUUGAACGCACAUUGCGCCCCCUGGUAUUCCGGGGGGCAUGCCUGUCCGAGCGUCAUUGCUGCCCUCAAGCACGGCUUGUGUGUUGGGCCCCCGUCCCCCUCUCCCGGGGGACGGGCCCGAAAGGCAGCGGCGGCACCGCGUCCGGUCCUCGAGCGUAUGGGGCUUUGUCACCUGCUCUGUAGGCCCGGCCGGCGCCAGCCGACACCCAACUUUAUUUUUCUAAGGUUGACCUCGGAUCAGGUAGGGAUACCCGCUGAACUUAAGCAUAUCAAUAAGGCGGAGG
rnacentral:rRNA from 1 species